rnacentral:tRNA from 1 species
GGGGUAAUAGUUUAGUUAAAAUAACUCAUUUGCAUUGAGUAGAUAUUUAUUUUUUUACCUU